AGGGUUUGAUUCUGGCUCAGAACGUACGCUGGCGGCACGCCUAACACAUGCAAGUCGAACGAAGUAGCAAUACUUAGUGGCAGACGGGUGAGUAACAUGUAGGUAUCUGCCCUUUGGCCUGGAAUAACACGAGGAAACUUGUGCUAAUACCGGAUAAGUCUUUACGGAGAAAGCUUUAUGCACCAUUGGAUGAGCCUGCACUUGAUUAGUUUGUUGGUAGGGUAACGGCUCACCAAGACAUCGAUAGGUAGGGGCCCUGAGAGGGGGAUCCCCCACACUGGUACUGAGACACGGACCAGACUCCUACGGGAGGCAGCAGUGAGGAAUAUUGGACAAUGGGGGCAACCCUGAUCCAGCCAUGCCGCGUGCAGGAAGACUGCCCUAUGGGUUGUAAACUGCUUUUAUACAGGAAGAAACUGCGCUACGUGUAGCGUACUGACGGUACUGUAAGAAUAAGGAUCGGCUAACUCCGUGCCAGCCGCCGCGGUAAUUC
rnacentral:rRNA from 1 species